UUGAAACGAACGGUUGAAUAACACGGAAAACGCGCAAAACUCGGUGAAAAAGUGAAAAAUUUAUAAAAAAGAAAACAUAUAUACACACACACAUGUGUAUGUAGUUAGAUAAGUGUGAAAAUAUAAGUUUAUUUCGCGUAAUUUAUGCCCGAUGCCGUAGCUAAAAUACAACAACAAAAGCAAUAAAUACUCGACAAACUAAAGUAAAAGUCUCCACUGCCUUGCAUUGCUUGGAGAAACGACAAAAAUUAUGCCAAAGUUCUAACUUAUUUUAAUUUCGCUUGUUUACGCGCCUUAAAAUAUGCAGCAGAAAUGCAAACGAGCGCGCGAAAGUUGCACAGCCGCUGAGCGAUGUCUCAGUGCGUAAAUCGGCGAAACGUAAAAUAUAAUUUACAUACACACUAAUAGUACAUACAUACGCAGAAAAGCGCCUAAAACAAAAGCAGAAAACCAAUCAGUGUUUAAAUUUAAUUUUCUUGCUGCAGAAAAGUUGUUAAAACAGCAAAAGCAAAAUUCUCAAGAUUCCUAAAAAUAACGUACACAAGUCUGAACAAGCGUUUACAAGCUGCGCCGACAGCUAAAUGGAGCAGUAAAUUAAAUCAGCAACAAAAAAAUAAAAACGCAGCGCUUUGAGCAUUUGGCUCAGCUAUUAAAUCCUCGAGACGUGGACAAAAUUUCAUGUAGAGCAUAAGCCCACAUAGCAUACUUUAAUAAAAUAUUUGACUACUUACAGCCACGUGACCAAAUAAACGGCAACAAAGCAGCAGAAAGAGAAGCAAAAAAAUAAAAAUAAAAUUUCAAAAUAAAAUUAAAAAUAAUAAUGAAAUUGUGAAAUUACGAAAACAGUGCAAGAAAUAAUAAAAAAAAUAUUCAAAACAAAAACAGCAAGAAAAAAUAUUAAAGAAUUUUGUCAGCAAAAAUUUCCAAUCUAAGUAUAUUCAAUUUAAAAGCUACCCUCAGUGUGCUCCUCACUCAGCCAGGCAGCUAUUGAACACGGAAAAAGCGAGGUGCUUCGCAUUGCAUUUCCGCAUUUGAAGUGAAAGCAACUGGGGCGAAUAAAUCAAAAGCAACAGUAAUAGCGACAUAACAGCCACACACAAUUGUGUUUCAGGCAUUAAAGUCAUUUUACUGGAAAUAAGGUGCGGACACAAACCGAGAUUCUUCUUUUCGAAAUCUGGCAGGAGAAUAAAAAUUUUUAAAAGGCCAACUGGAGAAAACAGCAAUAAAAUAUCGAACAUGCACAUACACACGCAUAAACGAGAGUUAUUAUGAGCCGUGCCUUUUCGCUGCAGGCAUUACCAUUUCAGAUAUGCAAACACACAUACACUCAUACACAUAUGAAACGCAAAAGCAUGAGACAAAUAAAUGAGAGCACAGCAUUGGUUUAAAGAGGCGAAUGUGCAUACAUAUUUAUGUAUUCGUAUAUGUAAAAUAAUCAGCCGCAGCAACAUCUGUUGAAUGCCGAUGUAAUCGAUUGGAAUUGCCGCAACGACAGCAAAAAACACGGCGCAGGGCUAUGCAGACACAGAUACACAACCAACACAUGCGCAUGCAAUUAAAUAGUGAUUUAGAUUUUUUGCCCGACAAUAACACAGGAUAUUAAAACUGUGGCAAAUAUAACCGUUAAGGGCGUUUAAACACAAAAAAACCAAAGCAUAGAGAUAAGCAAUACUUGUGCUUGCCGAGCAGUAAGGGCCAACGCGGUGGACACGCACUUCGCUCAUUCCAGCGCAGCCCCACCGUAGCAGUCUUCGUGGCACGCAACAUGGCCGUGCCCAUCGAUGAGGGCGUGCUGAGCGCUUUGCGCGGCAUAGCGAGCAAAAAUACACGUCUGCCCAAGCCGUUGCUCAUCAAAGUUUAUGUGUCCAGCUUGAAGGAGGAAUUCUGCCAAGAGCGACGCAUGCUGCUGGAACUAGUAGGACCCGAACUACAGUCCAUUUACGAUGACAGACAAAUCGAGAUUGAAAUCGUCGACAUGCACUUCGGCACUGGCCCGUUGCAAAUUAUGCAAGUCGAACAAGAUCCAUAUAUACUCCAUGACUAUCUGCAUGAAAUCGAGACUUGCUACAACAAUUCGAAAAGUGUCUUUUUCCUGGCACUUAUCGGCGAUAGCAUCGGUCCCAUGCCAUUACCGACGCACAUCGACGAAGACAUUUUCACCGACAUACUACAGCAGGCGCACACGAGCACUGACGACCGAAACCUGCUACAAAAGUGGUACGCAAAGGACAGCACAGCAGACGCAAAAACUGCCAACAGCAGCGGAGAGGGGAGCGUUGCGCCCGCACACGCAUAUGUGCUCAAGCAGGACUAUCGUUCAAUGUUACUUGAAAAAUGGCAUCCGGAGUAUUUGCAGCUGCGUGACGCUAUUGAGCGCUCGCUGCAAAGCAUUAAACAAAAUGCAAACUGCUCUAAAACGCAGCCGGACGACUUCACCAAGCGCGUGCAGAAACUAAGAGAAACUCAACUGGAAAAGGAAGUGCAAAGAGCACUGGAGCUUUCGAAUGACAAAAUUUUGGCUGUGUUUCGUGAAUGGUCUUCGCAAAUGAGCACCAAAAAUGCGGAGGCCGGCGAACGGCUGAGGAAAAUGAAAGAUGAGCUCACUAUGAAUUUGUCGUCCGACAAUUAUACCACACUAGUUGUCGCCGGCAAAUCGAAUGAUGGCACAAUCGAUCCUGACAAUGAGGACCACGAAACAUAUUUGAGCAAAUUUAAAAACAAAGUAUUUGACAAACUACGCUUUCUCAUCGAAGAGCAUAUAACCAACGAUCCUGAUGUCAUCAAGGGGAGAAGAAAGACUGUGCAGGAAAUUUUCCACGAACAUGCCACACACUUACGCAUCCUCCGCGAGCAUCACGAUGCCGCCGCACUUGCCUCGAGUCGCGUGCCCGGCCGCCUGCGUCAAAAUCUGCUGGCCAAUUUCCGCAAUGGCAGUCGCCAUGCGCCCUACUUCAUCUACGGGCCACACGGCAGCGGCAAGAGCGCGCUCAUGGUCAACUUGUACCACCAGUGCCGCGAUUGGUUCAACUCGACGCGCGUUUAUCGCGUUAUGCGCUUCGCCGCCGCCUCACCACGUUCCGCCUACAAUCUCGAAUUAUUACGUGUGAUUUGCCAACAAAUCUCCAUCAUUUACGAUAUACCCGAGGGUUAUCUGCCCAAAGACGCCUCAUUCGAUCCGGUGUAUAUCAACAGUUGGUUCCAGAAUCUGUUGCGCCGCAUCGAGGAUAUGAAUAAUGAUAUAUUUUUCAUAUUCAUCGAUGACUUGCAUUUAUUGAAUCCACUCGAUUGUGAUGUGGUCGCGGCGUUAUCCUGGUUGCCGACAUCUUUGCCCUGGAAUGUGCAACUUAUUUGCUCGACAACCACGCCCAUCGAACAGUUGCGCUUCACACCCAUACAACGCGAUCGCUUCAAGUCCGCAGAGUUUCUUUUCGAUUUGUCAACGGAGGAGAAUCGCACGGAAUUGCAUAAGCCUCUAGCGCUUGCCGCCGGUUUGCCGGAUAUUUCAUUUACAGAUUUCGUGGCGCACGAAUUCGACCGUUUGGAGGCGUGUUAUGGCAGAAAAUGUGUGGCACGCUUGGCUGGCUAUAUCACAUGCUCGGAGUUUGGCCUAUCGGAAACGGAGUUGUUGGAGCUGCUGAUGCCCACUGAGGAUCCGGAAAUGUUCGUCGAUACAGAGCGCGGCAAUUUCAACUUUUCCACAUUCAAGCAGAUACACAAUGAUAUGAAAUUCCUACUGCGCGAUAAAAUAAUGUCUGGCAAAGUGCUGCUGCAGUGGCGCCACAGCUACUGUGCGGAGCUCUCGAGAAAGCGCUAUAUGGACGCUCAGAGCACACGUGCCAUGCACAUAGCCAUUGCCAAUAUAUUCUUUCAGCAGGAGAGUGAGGAGAACGACGCCAGCACUAGUGAGAAUGCCUCAGGUGAAAGUGACAAACACUCAGUUAUUAGUCAAAAGGAGAAGGAGAGCAUAUCGGCAUCCGAACGCAAAUCAUCAUCACAUCACAAUGAUGACACAUCCACUUUUUAUAAUCCCAUUGCCGCCGAUGUCUCGUACAGCAUGCGUCAUGUGGAGGAGAGUUGGCAUCAUUUGAUGCGCUCCGAUGAUAUUGCGAAAUUUAAGCAAAUUGCUGUUUGUAAUUUCGACUUUCUUUUGGCAGCGGUUCAAACCGUCUCCAUCAGCUAUCUGCGUUGCCUCAUCGAGCAUGUGCGUUGCUAUCUGCUGGAUCGCGAUAUCGAACUCAUCUAUUAUACAAUACGCAAGUCGAGCGACGUGCUCACACGUGAUCCAAUGCAGCUUGGCUCACAGCUCAUCUCCUGGCUGCGGCCAAUCAGCGAACAUGACGAGAACGACAACUCCCUGCUGAGCAUAACGGUACGCUCGGCGACCGCCUGGUGCGACGGCUACACUGUGCCGCUGCUGGUGCCACUCACCGGCUGGCUGCCGGCCACUUUGCCCUCGCAGAUACGCGUGAUGACGGUGACCGGCACCGGACAGGUGCGUGACGUUUGCGUCUCGCCCACCAAGCAACAUCUCAUAUUGGCAACCAAAUCCGGUGACGUGCAAUUGUGGCACAUAAUGAGCAACUCGUUGGAGCACAUUUUUAAAGGUCACACCGCCGCAGUCACGUGCCUGCUAGUUGCACAACAAUCCGAUAUCCUGCUGACUGGCUCCGAGGACAACACGGUGCUCGUCUGGAACGUGACGACGCGUGUGCUGAAGACUCAUAUUAAAUCUCAUGGUGGCAUUGUGACGUGCGUCGCAGCUGGCGUCAAUAGCACGUUGGCCAUUAGUGGCAGUGAGGACUCGACGAUUGCAAUUUCAGAUAUACACAGCGGCAGAUUGCUGCACAAAAUCACACAUCAUCGCGCUGCUGUGACGAGCGUGAAGGUUAGCAAUGCCUGCGAUGUGUUGAUUUCAUCAAGUCGCGAUAAAACGAUUUGCUUAUGGUCCUUGGACGAUUAUACGCUGCUGAACAGCAUGCAGAUGUGCAGUCCGGUGCGGCGAAUUGACAUCUCAUGUGACUCGGUCUUUCUGUUGGCGCACUGUGAAGAUAAUGUGCUGUAUUUGCGCACAUUGGCCACUGGCAAGGAACUGCAUGCCCUCAAAGGUCACAAGUCACAGCUCCAUGCCAUUGCCAUCGCUAAGGAUAGUCAACGCGCCGUCGUUGGUGGCGAGGACACACGCGCACUCAUUUACGAUAUGCACUCCGGUCGCCUCAUACGCUCAAUGCCACCCAAUCCCGGUUCGAUUUCAGCUCUAUAUAUAAUGGAUAACGAUGAUUUUCUUAUCACAGUCGGCGGUAAUAAAAUCACUUUCUAUUCAUUCCGUAACGAAGAACUCUACGUACACCCGUACUCGCAUAAUCAGCGCCGAAAACGUUCAUUGAAACGUGCGCAGCAAUCGCAACGUUCCCCAUCGACCACGCUGCCACCGAUUACAUGUUUCGAUAUAUCACGUGAUUCGCAAUUGGCCGCCAUCGCUUCGAGUCGCAGCGUACAUAUUUUGAAGAUCAACACACCCGAGUAUCAGACGACUCUGGAUGGACACGCAGCCCCCGUGACAUGUUUAAAUUUUGCGCCGAACGGUGAGUACUUGGCAACGGGUGCGGACGAUCGUACGGUGAAUGUUUGGAAUUUGGCCUUGGGUGAGGUAACCAACUCCUUUAAGGGUCACAAUGCGUCGGUUUGUUGCGUUGUUGUGCUCAUGGACUCACGCCGUAUCAUCUCGACCGAUCGCGAUUCCAUGAUGUAUGUGUGGUUGGCCGAAGGCGGCAACUUAUUGCAAACCAUACAGGGACCAUACAAGUUUUUGGCAGCCACAAAUAAUAUGAAGUUCGCGGUCUCUACAAAUGGUGACAACACAUUGAAGAUCUGGUCACUGACGCGUGAAGAUGAAAAGUACACCGUUUCACAUUCGGACGAGAUCACUUGCUUCACAAUCACCGCCGACAGUUUGUACAUAAUAACCGGUUCGCGUGAUAUGUCCUUAAAGGUAUGGCAAGCCACUGGCGGCAAGCUGGCACAAGUGCUCGUCGGCCAUACCGAUGCAGUGAACUGUGUAGCAGUGUCAGUGACCAACAAGACACAAGUCAUAUCCGGUUCAAAGGAUACCAAUCUCAUCAUUUGGGAUCUGCAUACCGGCGAGGAGCUGCAUACGCUGGCCGGCCAUUUAGCACCGGUGCUGGGCGUCAAAGUGUCGGCAGAUGGUUCAACGGCCAUUUCGGGCAGUGACGAUAAGACACUCAUCGUUUGGGAGACCAAACGUGGCUUGGCGCUCACUUCGCUACAAAUGCAUGUGCCCUUCCAACGUUUCGACAUCAGCCUGGAGUGUUCGCGCAUUUUAGUGCAAUUGAUGGAGAGUUUCAAUUUACCGGUUAUUUGUCUACACAACACACCGGCACAAUACGUUAAAUUGCCCACCUACUCGGCGCCGGCAAUGGAUGCGGAAGACUUACGCCCACAAGGUCCCAAGCGUCAAAUGAAGCGUUUACUCAAGAAGGAGGUAUCGCUGGACACCUACACGUGGCAGAAGAAAUACGGUCAUCUGACGUCAUCGGUUAUGAUGGCACAAGUAGAUGAGCGGUUGAAGCGGCGCUUUUCUGUCUCCGCCAGCAUGGAGGAGAUUUCGAAAAUAGCCGAAAUGAAAACAAUCACUUCGCAGACCAAUCUGGGUCCGGAGCAAGCCGCUUUGGCGCAAUCGCAGCACUUCGAUCAGCUGGAGGCAUUAUGGAACAAACGCUCGCCACCGCGCAGGAGACACAAUGCGGGUCUCUCACGGCAAACAUCGCUCGUCGAGGAUCGCCUUGAGUCAUCCGAUGACGAUGAGUAUCACGACGAACGAACAGUGCAUUCGAAAACCAGCUCGCGUAAUUCCCUGCAGCAACCCAUUAUCUAAGGAGCACCCAAGUCCAACAGCAUAACCCAAAAGCAAGCAUAUUGAAACACCCGUCAACUAGACUCACAUUCUCACUAGACAUCUAAGCUAUACAUACCUAUGUAUUUGUUGUAAUAUGCGUGUUGUAAACAAUGCAAUGUGCUCUCUGAAAUCCUACACUGAGUGGGGCGUCAGUAGCAGCCUGCGCCUGCGUCCUUGACUUAGCUAAUCGUGUACACUCGAGUCAAUCUGAUUUUAUUGCCUGCAUUUUUUAGAUGAUUUCGAUGACUAUAUACGGGCGACGCUUCAGUAAUUUCGAUUCACCCGUUUCCUAACUUCCACACAUUCAUAGAAGCGAAAGUAAAAACCGCAAUGAAAUUACCAUUUUCGGAAACUUACCUCAAAAACUGCUGAAAUCUUAGAGCAAAGUAUGAUUUUUGUAGUUUUAAGCACACAAAUAAUUAAAAAAAAAUAAUAAAAAUAUAAAAAUAACAACAAACAAGUAAUAUUACGGGUAGUUAACCGUUAAACACACAGAGUGCACAUAAAAUGCGUUUCAAUUAAAAUUUUGUCAAAUUAACACACACGCACACACACACAGGCAAGUGAACGGAGUGUUGCGUGAGAAGAUAUUGCUGUCAUUACACAGAAACCAUUAAUUUUCUUAAGAAGCAAAAACUGUAAAUUAAGAAAAUGAUUUUUGAGUUUUGAUUUAGGGGUUGUAUCCACUAGCAAGUCCCAGAAGUCAGUGUUUUUUGUGUUUUUUUUUUUGAGGACGCAUUUUAUAAUAAAAAUAAAUAAAUAUUUUGUAUUUACAGAUUUGAAAUUUCAAAAAAAAAUUUUUAAUUUUUUUAUUUUUUAAAUUUUUUUUAAUUUAAUUUUUAAAUUUUUAAUUUUUAAAUUUUUUUUUAUUUUUUUAUAAUUUUUUUUUUUUUGGUUAAUACUUUUUAGAGUUUUGGGCGCCUAUUACUGUAAAUUUAAAAAUUCUAAAAAAUAGGCUCAUAUCUCCGAAACAUUUUCCCGAAGUAACUUCAAAUUUUCGGAGAACGCUCUCACACAUCUUAUGCGUUAAAUAUAUAUGAAAAUAAAUCUUUGGAAAUCGACAAGUGGAUAUAACCCCUUAAUCUAAUAGUAAUAACAAUAAGAAAAUGCACCAGGCACACAACAAAAUCAUCAUCAACAUUUCGCACACACAAGCAAGAGAAAAAUAUAUUAUCUUAUACAACAACAACUGCAAUGACAACGCAACUUUAACGGAUUCACAAUGCAUAUCAUUUCGCUGCAGGAGGAGGAGGAUACCGUUAGCAAUUUUGAUUAGCAAACACCAGGAUCAGCGAAAUAACUAAGCAAGGAGAUUUAGAAGCAAGCGCAUAAGAUUGACGUACAGUUUCUCAGCUACAAAUGAUGAGAGAGUUGGGAGUAAUGUGAAGAGAACCAACACAAAAACAAAAAACUAUGAGUAGAAGGUUGUGUGAACAUUAGUAUGCAUACUUGAAGAGUAUUAUGCAAAAAUAAAUAAAUAAUAUAGCAAAAAUGACAAGCAAUAGGCUUCUAAGCAACUCUGUUGUAAGUUUCUAGUUUUUUUGACGUUUCUCAGUUGCGAAAAAUAAUAAGAAUUUAGCUGAUAAGUCGUAAGGUGUUAAGGUUUAAGUUUUAAGAAAAAUAUUAUAUAUUUCUUGUUUUUUUUUUUAUCGACAAACUGCACUUGCGUUCUUUGUUUCUAUUACCAAGUAAAUAACUGUUAAAUAACCGUAAAGCUACCGACUGUACAUUCAUGAUAAAUGUGCGAAUGGCAAAUAGUACUAAAGCAAAAACAAAAAACUAUAUACAUAUUAGAAGACACUUAGCCAGCAAAAACAAAACUAUUUAAUAAUAAAUAGUAAUAACAACAACACAAAGUAAAAGUAGACGAAAGGAAACUAAAAAAGGGGUUAAAAGCUGAACUAUGCUUACAAAAUGAAACAACAAUUUGCUGUUAAUAACACAAAAGAAAACAAAAAAGCCGUUGCUUACAUAAUUACAGACAUGCAUAACAGUUUAUUUGUAUGUAUGUAUGUAUGUCUUUUUUGAAAAUAAAUUAUAUGCGUAAGAAACAAUGACAACAACUCCCACCAUUAGCUGCUGAUUUUAUAAACUGUAGAAAUUCAAGCUCUUUUCUCACGCCAAUAACAAAAUAAUGUAUACUUGAUGAUAAGAGAGAGGUUUUUGGCAGUGAAGGCGCUCAGUUUUGUGAAAAAUACAUAUACAUACAUUUUUUUUUUAAUUAAUGCGUUCAAAUGACUUUUAUACUAGCGAUUCCUGCUGAGGAAGUAAAAACAUUUCAAAUACAUAAUUACUGAGUUUAGCGAAAAUUACUCGUCAGCGAUGCGCUUGGGAUAUGGCGAAAGAAACAAACAACUGGUAUAAGUUGCAUAAACUGAUAUAAGGCGCUUAAACUAGUAUAAGUCGCUUAAACUGGUAUAAGUGGGUAUAAGUCGCUUAAACUGGUAUAAGUCGCUUAAACUGGUAUAAGUAGCUUAAACUGGUAUGAGUCGCUUAAACUGGUAUAAGUAGUUUAAACUGGCAUAAAUCAAUGUAGAUAGAAAAAUGUGCGAUAAUGCCAGUUUAAUGGAUUGUACACAUACGCAUUGAUGUCAGCUCGCUAACUUUGUUGUUAAACUUUAAAUGAAGAUUUUGUAAUAAGAGAGAUUUCUUAAUGAGAGAGAUUUUAUAAUGAGAGAGAUUUUUUUAAUGAGAGAGAUUUUCUAAUGAUUUUCUAAUGAGAGCAGCGAAAUAGCGAAGCAAUGACGUAUUUUAUUACUUUCUUUUGCUAGAGCGGAACGCUCAAGCAUAGCGGAGCAGUAAAGUGGCGAAUAGAAGAUGUUUAUUGAGUUUAGGGUUGCGAAUUUUUUUUGAAUAAAAACUUUCUAAUAAAAAAUUCUGCAUAAAAUUUUUAUGAAUUUUGUAACGUUUUUUAUUAUAAUUCAUUAUUAGCCACCCUGAUUCUGUUUACAUUUGAUUCUGAUAAAUUUGAUAUCUGAUCAACUGAGACAGUUUGAGGUUAACUCUGAUAACUAGUAUAACAACAUAUAGAAUUAGAUCUAAGUAGGUACUCUUCAGUUAUACUUAUAAAUUGUAUAAACAAGCAAUGGAACUACAAACCAAAAACACACAAACUUUAAACUAUAAUUAUUACAGUAAUUUAUUUUGAAAAAAAAACUAAAAUUGUUAACUACUUUUUUUAAUCACACAUACAUAUAUUAUAUACUAUAUAUAAGAGAACAAGUUAUAUACUAAACCGUAAGAUAUUUUGUAAAGAGUGAAAAAAAAUAAAAAACACUUUAAUAAAGGCACUCAUGUAAUAAAAGCAAUUGUUAAAUAAUAAAUAAAAUUAUGCAAAAAAAAUAUGAAAAAUAAAUGUCAUAAAGAAAUCAUAAUAAAUGGAGACAAUCAAAUAUUUGCAAGUCGCACACACACACACACGUAUAAACAAAUAAAUUAUUAUAUUUAAGAAACAUUUCCUACAGGGCAACUUACUUGGAAAA